CUCACACUUGCUUAGACCUGCCUGCCCCAGCCUCUGCUAAAUUGAUGUGGCUGAAAAAGAAAAAUAACUUCCUAAACCGCCUGUUUGAUAACCCCUCAGCACAGCUCCAGGUCUACUC
rfam:Neotoma lepida isolate 417 scaffold_101, whole genome shotgun sequence.